AUGUACUCUUUAGGAGUCAAUUUGGGUAAAAUUAGCAUUGAGGAAUAUUUAGGAAAAGAGAGGACAAUGCAUUUUUUUAUAUUCCUAGCAGUACUGCACAGUAUAGCCUUAGAUCUCAAACUGCCAUGCUGUUUGGGAGAACUUGCUGGUGAGAAGCAGAGUGGAUUUGGCCAGUUGCUGCUGUUAUCUCUGGCGAUCUGUGAGGUCAUGUUGAUAGCCCCUGUGUCCUGCUCUAGCCUCUGCGUUGCCAGAGGACCAUGCGGAUGUCUGGGUUCUUGGUCAGAAAUGCCCGCUGCCCCUUGGGAAUCCCAGUGAAAAUGGAUGUGUAUCCAGAUUUGAUUAAUCCAGUUGUUAGUGAGAAAGGCACGGUGGGACUUGGUUUUCGCAGUACAGACUGUGGGGUCCAAAAGUGGAGGAGCUGCUAUCCGUCUCCCCAUGAAUGGAUGCAGAUGGGAGGUAGGACCCGGAUGGUGACAUGGGAGUCAUGAGCAGUCAUGAGCAGUACCAGGACAGGAGGAGUUAUGGCAGGAAAGACACCUAGGGGGAAGCAGUGGUGCUGAGUGGAGGGGCACUGGGAGCUGGGGGUGACGUCAUGGAGGAGUCGCCACAGCACAUCCACUCUCCCCGCUUCCCCUGCACCCUCCAGUCCCCAAGGGGACGUCAGAGCCAGCCACCCAGUGUGAGUCCCUUGUGGUAGAGAGCAGGGUGCAGGGGGAAGAGGAGGCUCCUGGGUCGAGAAUGGAAGAUGUUGUGGGGAGCAACUCGGACUAGACUAAGUUACUGGAAUUAAGACUUAUUCUAUGCAUCUGCUCUCCCACAAUAUGGCGCUGGGAGAGGCGUAAACAACUUUUACACAGCUGCCUCUCACCAACUUGAGUGAUGACCUGCAGGAGCUGAUCCUGCUUCUGAUUGGAGGAGAGCAGCAUGCUCAGCGUGUGGGUAGCAGAGUUGGGAUUGGUGGAAGAGGACUAUAAAGGAGGAGAGAGACAACAUGCACCAGGAACAUCUAAGGGGAACACCUGAGGAACACCUGAGCAGCCCCUGAGAGAGUCGGCCGGCAGUGUGCCGCUCCCCCGUGGAAAUGGGGAAAGUGGCAGGGGGAGCCGCCCCUCCACGGAGGUGGAAGGGACGGUAGCCAACCCGGGAAGGACCAGCAGCAAACCCGGGAAGGGCCGAGCAGAUGAAAGAACAGUGCAGGGUCCUGUGUCGUUCCUCCACGGAGAGGGGGAGUGACAAGAUGUGACAUCACAGGGUCUGGUGUCAGGCUUGGCCUCUGCUUUGCCUUGGCUGGUGCGAUUGGCAGCCCCUCCAGACA
rnacentral:lncRNA from 1 species